AAGAAAAACAUGUCUGAUUACGAGGGAGCCUUACCUUUGUGUGAGGACCGAAAACCCUCCCAUCUCGGCCACCCCAGCAUCAUCACCACCUAGACGAGCCAGGGAGAUUCUGAUACAGUAUUUACCACUAGCCUAAUCUAGCCAGCUGCUGCCUUUCUAGAAACAUGCUUAGGAACCAUUUGUCAACAUUUACUGCAGACUCACUCCGGGGUAAGACCUCUAUUAAAUGAAGGGAAUGGAUUUCACUAGACGAUCACCCGAUGAUCCACUUCUGAGAACUAUUAGCCACACGUUAAGUUACUGCCACUGUGAAGUCUCUUGUGUAAGUGGGACAGAGAAAGCAGAUCGUAGUAAACAUACAGGCCCAGGACCACAAGUGCCAGCUGCUCAGGCCAGCGGUGAGUAGUGUGGUUGGCCGGGGGAGAAAGGUGGGCAAUGAGACGCCCCACCCAGAGGGAGGAGGUUGGCGGGCAGGCUAUCUGCCUUGCUAGAUCCUCCUCUGUUCGAAGAGAAGCCAGGAAAUCUGCUUUAAAAAAACAAACAAACGAAAACAAAAAAGCAGCUCCACAUUUUUAAGUGAUGGCAAAUAAUUCCAUGUUUUUUAACAAUGUGUCCAAGUCCAUCAGCACGUGUCUGGACACCAGAGAUGGCCCCCACGCCCCCUACUGCGGCUGCCAGCACGUGACAAAUACAGACAGAUCCAAAUAACUUGAAACAGGAACACAACCCAAAACCAAUUACUCGUUUCUCUAGAACACACAUAGACAGAUACCAACUUAAAUUAGGAAGGAAAGAAACCAAAGUAAGUUCAAACAGGUUCUCUCCUCAAGGUCAGAGGAGAGGGGAGCAGAGCCUUUCACUGGGCGGGUCCAGAACCUAGAGGGCUUUAAGUGCGGUGUACACGUGCAGAUAAGGAGAAUCAGGAAGAAGGAACCUGUAUCCGGACAGAAACACAAGGAUCCUCAGGGGGUUCACACCUGAAUCUUCUCUACGUUCACCUGCCAGGUAGGAUGCGGGGGGGGGGGGGGGGGGGGGGGGGAGGGCAUGUGGCAAAAACGCAUUCCUGAUGGGAGAACGCACGGGGAGACAGAGGCUGGGAGGCCAGAGCUGGGUUACACUGAGGCGAUCAGAGGAAGAGAAGAGCAUGCAAACGGCAGUGUGUGGCCCACCUUACGGGUGGAAAGGACCUCUACGAUUUGAGGUGACCAGAGAAAGCAGGAGGGGGCUUUCUGUCACGUAGAGCCACCUGGGAUAACACACUUCUCUUCAAGACAGGGCCUCCGAUGCCGUCUGACUGCUGGGGGCCAGGUGAGCACAACAGCUGGGCCUGUAAGCACCUUCCAAGCCAAAGGCUGAGAGAAGAGGACCAUUGCUGACUCGUGCACAAAUCUAAGAGACCUCUACUGUCCGUGAGGGGAGCAGAAGUCAAUGAUGUAACCAGAUUCCAAAUCUGGAUGGCAGCAGGUGGAAAGGGUCAUUUGCUGAUCUCCUGGUGGAAGAAAUUAAUGCUCAGGAGUCAGUUCCAAAGAGGCCUCCUCAGAGCACCUUCUUACAGCCAGAAGCCGCAGGCCUGGGAACGGCUGGGCUGGAAGCAGUGGUGACCGGACCUGAUGUCGGUGGUUCUCCGCCCGCGUUCCCCGGCGCGGAGCUCUCCCAGCUGUUUAUUCCCUGCUGUCCUCCUGACGCGACUCCCAGAGACCAUGAAAAGGCUGAUCACACAGAUGCAGAAAUGGAAGCCUGGCACGUUCAUGAAAGUGACUUACCCGACGGCAAAUCACAGAGCUAGGGCUCAGCUCUCCUGGCCUCACUCCAGUGUUCGUCCCAUGGAAACACCAGAUUCAUGAAGGCCAGGGUCUCACCACCCUAUUCACAGUGCCAGAUAUGAAACCAUGAGCCUCAAGUGUGUCCAUAUUCUCCUAUUAUUAGCACUGAAAGUGCCAACUUAGGUUUGUGACUCGGCCACUGACAUCGACAGAUGUGGGUCAAGCUCUGAUUUUUGACUUUUCCUCAACAGACACACAAAAGGUGUUGAAUGAAAGGGAAAAAAAGUUCUCUUCUGUUUUGUCUGCCUUCAGUGCAACCAAUAAAAAUGAAUACCUUCCUUUGAUGGCCUUGAUGUGAAUUUUAUUUA